UUGAUUAGUGGCGCACGGGUGAGUAAUGCAUAGAUAAUGUGCCCUUAGUUCGGGAUAGCCACUGGAAACGGUGAUUAAUACCGGAUACUCCUUCUUGUUAUAAGACAAGUCGGGAAAGUUUUUCGCUAAGGGAUCAGUCUAUGUUCCAUCAGCUUGUUGGUGAGGUAAUGGCUCACCAAGGCUAUGACGGAUAUCUGGUUUGAGAGGAUGAUCAGACACACUGGAACUGAGACACGGUCCAGACUCCUACGGGAGGCAGCAGUGAGGAAUAUUGCACAAUGGAGGAAACUCUGAUGCAGCAACGCCGCGUGGAGGAUGACGCAUUUCGGUGUGUAAACUCCUUUUAUUAGGGAAGAUAAUGACGGUACCUAAUGAAUAAGCACCGGCUAACUCCGUGCCAGCAGCCGCGGUAAUACGGAGGGUGCAAGCGUUACUCGGAAUCACUGGGCGUAAAGGGUGCGUAGGCUGGCUUUUAAGUCAGAUGUGAAAUCCAAUGGCUCAACCAUUGAACUGCAUUUGAAACUGAAAGCCUAGAGUUCAGAAGGGGCAGAUGGAAUUAGUGGUGUAGGGGUAAAAUCCGUAGAUAUCACUAGGAAUAUCAAAAGCGAAGGCGAUCUG
rnacentral:rRNA from 1 species